UACGAAGGGGGGCUAGCGUUGCUCGGAAUCACUGGGCGUAAAGCGCACGUAGGCGGAUUGUUAAGUCAGGGGUGAAAUCCUGGAGCUCAACUCCAGAACUGCCUUUGAUACUGGCGAUCUCGAGUCCGGGAGAGGUGAGUGGAAUUCCUGGUGUAGCGGUGGAAUGCGCAGAUAUCAGGAGGAACACCAAUAGCGAAGGCAGCUCGCUGGGACGGUACUGACGCUGAGGCGCGAAAGCGUGGGGAGCGAACAGG
rnacentral:rRNA from 1 species